rnacentral:lncRNA from 1 species
GGCCUGCGCCCCCGCCUCCACUUCUUUGCGCACUUUGGUUAUUGAUCCUGCUGAAUCGGCCGGAGCGCAGCGGCUGCGCUUCUGUGGGAACAAGGGAGUGGGGAGGUGAGUAGGCUAGGGGAACGGUGGAGGAGAGGAGAGAUUGAUUAACUUUAGGAGGGGUUGUAGGGCAUUCUUCAAGGCCGCCC